rnacentral:piRNA from 1 species
UAAAAAGUAGACCAAAAGAAGUCUAAACCAAA